AGAGUUUGAUCAUGGCUCAGGAUCAACGCUGGCGGCGUGCCUAACACAUGCAAGUCGAGCGAGAAAGGGUAGCAAUACCUGAGUACAGCGGCGCACGGGUGAGUAACACGUGGGUAAUCUGCCCUAGAGUGGGGAAUAACACCGGGAAACCGGUGCUAAUACCGCAUACGAUUACGGGGUCUGCGGACUUUGUAAUUAAAGGAGCAAUUCGCUUUAGGAGGAGCCCGCGGCUGAUUAGCUAGUUGGUGAGGUAAUGGCUCACCAAGGCAACGAUCAGUAUCCGGUCUGAGAGGACGGUCGGACACACUGGAACUGAGACACGGUCCAGACUCCUACGGGAGGCAGCAGUGGGGAAUUUUUGGCAAUGGGGCAACCCUGACCAAGCAACGCCGCGUGGGUGAUGAAGUCUCUUGGGACGUAAAACCCUUUCGACGGGGAAGAAACCGCAAGGUUGACGGUACCCGUAGAAGAAGCCCCGGCUAACUCCGUACCAGCAGCCGCGGUAAUACGGGGGGGGCAAGCGUUGUUCGGAAUUACUGGGCGUAAAGGGCGCGUAGGCGGUUUGUUAAGUUGGAUGUGAAAACUCUGGGCUCAACCCAGAGCCUGCAUCCAAAACUAGCAAGCUAGAGUUCUGGAGGGGAUAGCGGAAUUCCUGGUGUAGCGGUGAAAUGCGUAGAUAUCAGGAGGAACACCGGUGGCGAAGGCGGCUAUCUGGACAGAGUCUGACGCUGAGGCGCGAAAGCUAGGGGAGCAAACAGGAUUAGAUACCCUGGUAGUCCUAGCCCUAAAC
rnacentral:rRNA from 1 species